rnacentral:rRNA from 1 species
UACGGAGGGUGCAAGCGUUAUCCGGAUUCACUGGGUUUAAAGGGCGCGUAGGUGGGUUGGUAAGUCAGUGGUGAAAUCCCUAAGCUUAACUUGGGAACUGCCAUUGAUACUAUUAAUCUUGAAUACCGUGGAGGUCAGCGGAAUAUGUCAUGUAGCGGUGAAAUGCUUAGAUAUGACAUAGAACACCAAUUGCGAAGGCAGCUGGCUACACGAAUAUUGACACUGAGGCUCGAAAGCGUGGGGAUCAAACAGG